AUUGAACGCUGGCGGAAUGCUUUACACAUGCAAGUCGAACGGUAGAGGGGGCAACCCCUCGAGAGUGGCGAACGGGUGAGUAAUAUAUCGGAACGUGCCCAGUCGUGGGGGAUAACGUAGCGAAAGUUACGCUAAUACCGCAUACGAUCUAAGGAUGAAAGCGGGGGAUCGCAAGACCUCGCGCGAUUGGAGCGGCCGAUAUCAGAUUAGGUAGUUGGUGGGGUAAAGGCUCACCAAGCCAACGAUCUGUAGCUGGUCUGAGAGGACGACCAGCCACACUGGAACUGAGACACGGUCCAGACUGCUACGGGAGGCAGCAGUGGGGAAUUUUGGACAAUGGACGCAAGUCUGAUCCGGCUAUUCCGCGUGCAGGAUGAAGGCCCUCGGGUUGUAAACUGCUUUUGUACGGAACGAAAAGGUCUCUCUUAAUACGGGGGGCUCAUGACGGUACCGUAAGAAUAAGCACCGGCUAACUACGUGCCAGCCGCCGCAGUAA
rnacentral:rRNA from 1 species